GCGCGCGAGGCUUCUACUGCGGCUGUGCGGGCUCAGCGCGCACUAAGCGCGCGCUCGGUCGUCUCGCGUCGGCGGAUCCUCCGUUCAGUCAGGUUCUCGAGGCGGCUGUGCAGCCUACGCUCUCUGAAAAUGGCUACAACUUCAGAAAGCUCUGGGGACUUCCCUGGUGGCGCAGUGGUUAAGAAUCCGCCUGGCAGUGCAGCGGGCACGGGUUUGAGCCCUGGUCCCGGAAGAUCCCACAUGCCGCGGAGCAACUAAGCCCGUGCGCCACAACUGCUGAGUCUGUGCUCUACAGCCCACAAGCCACAACUGAGCCCGCAUGCCACAACUACUGAAGCCUGCGCGCCUAGAACCUGUGCUAACAAGAGAAGCCACUGCAAUGAGAAGCCCGCCCACCGCAAUGAGAAGCCCGCGCACCGCAACGAAGAGUAGCCCCUGCUUGACGCAACCAGAGAAGGCCCGCGCACAGCAACGAAGACCCAACACAGCCAAAGAUAAAUAAAUAAAAUAAUUUAUUUAAAAAAAAAAAAGAAAGCUCUGUAUAUGGAAAAAAAGUCAGACUUUUGGCAGAAUGCUGCCAGACAGAUCAGAAUUCAAACUCAUUUACCUGUCCGAAUUAACUAAAAGGGCAGACUUUGAGCCCUGCUAUUGGGAUUUAAAGUUAUUUUAGAAUUUUAGAACUUCUUAUUUAAUAUAAAUAUAUUGAGAAUAUUUAUAUAUUUAAGAACACUAUUGUUCCCUUAAGCCCAAAUACACAAUUGCUACAAAUCUAAUAAAUAUCUUGAGAUUGGAUGCAAAUUCAUUUGGGAGGCAAAAUGUUUCUUUAAUGCCAACAUGUCCCUUUAAUGUAUUUGGAUCCAGGUGUUUCGGCCUUAUUUGCUGGAGUGGAUGCAGCAUUAGACUGUCAGUUCCCUGUUUGACAUUAUUUGGUAUUAGAGGCUGUUAAGCAUGCAUACUCAUUGGGAAAGUUGAAGAAAGGCUUUAAAUUGAAAAAGGUACCAAGCUGUGGUCCUUGUCCAGACAUCCUGAGGUUAAAAACAACAAAACAAAGUAACUAUAAAUAAAGCAUUAGAAUACUAAUAAUAAAAAGCACCACAGUAGCUAAGAACAGUCUUGGUAGUACCUGUCUUUCAUAUUAGCUGUCAGUCAAGGUCCCCAGCACAUAACUAGAUCUUCACUAAGGGCCAGUCUCUCCUUCAGGGAAGCAUCUGACAAAGCAUGUAUUCCAUAACUGAACAUGCAAAUUCUCGAACAUUAACAGAUAACAUAAAUUAUAUUUCCUAAGGUAAUAAACACCACACGAUUGUGCUCAAAAAUCUUUGCAUGGUGCUAUGUUAACCUUGCGUCCUUAGAUCUACGCUAUAGAUUAUUGUACUAAAGUCAAUUUCUACUUUAACAUUAAUAGCAGGGUACAGUUCUCACGUUGUUUCUUAAGAAAUGAUAGAACUGCUUGGAAUUUCCCUUACAUUUGCAUACAUAUUUCAUUGUUCUUAUACUAGGAGUGUAAUAGAUUUGCUUCUUGUCUAAUUACAAUGUAAACUGUAGGAUUCAGCACUCCAGUUCUCAGGGUGGUAAUGUGCUCUGUAGUUUCAUGCUGAUUGGUUUUCCUUUUAUGAGUGUGUUUAUAGAUGCUCCUUAGGGCUGGAGCUCUGGCCCUUAAGAAUACCAUGUGCAUAUUCAUCAGCAAAGAUAAGCACCAGUGACCAAUAGGUAGAUCCACUUUCAACCUGUUUUCCUAGUUUUAAAAACAGAAGGAUUUAAUGGCCAGUGUUUUAUUUUGGAUUUUUAUGUCUAGAUUCAUAAAUGAAAUGGGCCUAUCCUUUUCUUAUACUAUCUAUUGAUCUUAGAAUUAAGAAUACCAUCAUGGAGUGAUUUUAAUAUCUUUUAUUUUUAUAUUUUCUUAAACAAUUUGAAAAUACAGAGUAUCACUGGUCCCUGAAAGUUUGGUGAAAUACAUGUAAAACCAUCUGGGCCUGUAUUUUUUGGAGAGUUGGAUAAAGGACAAGGAGUUAGGAUUACCAUUUUAAUUUUAUGAGCUCUGGUUUUUUUGUUUUCUUUUCCUUCUUGCACCAGAGCUUUUAAUAGUUUUUCUAAAAGUUUAUAUAAUCUAAUUUAUUGUUGUAUAGUUGCUAAUAACAUUUUUCACUCAUUCUUAAAUUCCUUAUGAAAUAGUUUGUAUGUGUGAACAAGGAGAUGUAUGCUACAGUUCUUUGCAGUUGAAGUCACUUGCUUAUCACUCCUGAUUCUAGUUCCAUUGCUUCCCUCCCCAAAGGUGGCACCACUCCUGCAUCUGAGGUCCAUCGUCCCCUGCAUUUUGGGAUUCCUCAACUACAUAUGUAUGCCUAAAACAUACUAGGACAGGCACUGAGCUGGGGACUUGCCGAGGUGACCGCCUACCGGGAUUCACCGGGACAGACAAGCACAGCGAGGACAGCGUGUGCAGCAGCGUGUGGACCAGGGACCGUUUCAAGUGGAUGGAGAACCAUGACCAUUUUUGUACAAAAAUCCUGUUGAAGAAUCACAUCAAAGAUGAGAAGCAGGGAGUUCCAAGAGGAACAGUCCACUUAAAGAAUACUGUCCAGGACAGACAAUGGCCACUCCAUUCGGCAUUAGGUCCAAUAUUUAAAGCUAGCGCAGGGGAAGGUGGAAGCUUCUCAAGGGCAAGGACAGUGUCUCCACGCGUGGUCAGUGUCUACCACAAGGGCUCUGAGAUGAGCUCUCUCUGAUGCUGCAGAAUCUGCUGUAUUGGCUGAACUGCCCUGCAGGCACUCCAUUCCUCUCUGCCAGAGCCUAAGGGGCUGCUUCUGAGCCUAACAGUUCUAAUGAGACACGGAACUGGCACGACCAAGGGGAGGAGCCUCCUGAGCAGGAGGCUGCCUAACGAGCUGUUGCCACAGCACUUUAGACUCAUCAGGGGCCAUUACAGAGGCAGCCAGCACGUCUCCCGGGAAGAAUGUAGGAGGAAGAAGCCAGACAGACACCACAGCCAGUGCUGCGUCCAUAGACAGUGCCACCGAGCAAGGAGUUAGGGCCUGGGAGCCUCAGCAUGGAACGUCUUCACUCACCUUCUCAGCGGAUCACUGAGCUCUGCCUGAAACAGUGCAGACGCUCGGUGCUGGCAGCCAGGGGGCAAGGCCCUGUGAUCCCAGGCCCUUCCCCUCCUCUGACCUCACAGUGUUCCCACAGUAGGGACCCAUGAUACUUGAUGGAUGACGGAGAGCAUUCGCCAAAGGAGAAAUCUGUCUCUGCCUUUUUUAUUCUUGUAACUCUGAUAUUGGUUCUGACAGACACUAUCAUUCCUUUGGGAAUUAGAUUCAGUAGAGUAGCCACUCAGCAUUCGGGUUGCUAUAGGACAUUUUCCUCUCUGAACUCAAAAAUAAACAGUCCCUGAAAACAACAGGAAGGUCUCAGAGACCUCAGCACUUUGAAAACGAAUAUCUAAUAAUAUAAAUGUAACAUUUUUAGUUAGAAAACUCUAUCAAAGUAACUUGAACUGGUGGCUCUAAUAGAACUGAGUUCUCUAAAUAAACCACAGCUCUGUGACGGGUGUGAUGGUGCCAAGGGCUGGAGGGGGCACUUCUCCCCAGUCUCAGUCAGAGGACUUAAAAAUCAGAAGUAUGUGCACCCAGCUCACCCCUUGAGUAGCACUGGGAUUUGCAAACUACAGAGACGUAGAGGAGCAUCAAUGACAGUCACCCAGGAUCCCAACACCAGAGAGAGCCGGCGACACACCUGGUAAAGGGGCAUCAGAAACAGCCUGUCCACAGGGGAGGAGGGCUGGCUCCGUCACACCCACGCUCAGAGCGGGGCUGAGGCCCUGCUUGAGGCCAAGAGCUUUUCCUUUAUACAGAAGGGCCUUGGCUUCGUUCGUGCCUCACCCUGCGGCCUGUCACAAAGAGCUGCCAGGAAUUCGUGACAUCCCGGGAGCCGCCACAGCUGGACGCUGAUGGAGACCUGAAUGGGGGCUGAUGCGAAGUCCUGCUCCUUCUCGCCGGCCUGCAGCUGGACCAGCACCUGGUGGAGCUGAGCGGGGAGAGCGUCAGCAGCGUCGGCUGCAUCUGGCCCCCAGGGGUUUGUCCCCAAGUUUCUCUUGUGUCACCUGUCAUUAUCAUCGCUAAUGACCUUACACAAGCUGAAAAGAAGCAAGGCUGCAUCACGUGCAGGGUCCUACUUGGGGCCAAAUCACUGUCCAACCCGCACAGUCCUCAGACCCGGGCUCAGCCGUCCUGGCUCAACUCACCCGGCUGAUGAGCUGCUCGCCCGUCUCCGAGGCAGUGAUGAGCUUGCAGAGGGCCUGGAGGGCAGGGUUGGGCAGACCUAAAGCAAGGAGGAGGCAGGCGUUACCCGGAGGGGCCUCUGCACCCCCAGCCCUGCACCUUCCGAGGGGAACGCACCCAAACGCGCAGCUUUGGUGGCACUUUCAGAAGCUCGGGACAGCCAGACGUGUGUAUCCGUGUCUGACUUGUCUCUGAGAAGGGCAGGUGGAGGCAGGGCCAGCCCUGACCCUGCUGUGUCCUCCAGGCGUACGGUCACAUGCCAGGACCCCAACUAGUUGCUCAGGCAGCAUCACCCGCUUCGAGUGAAGCACAAAGGGCAGCCCUGAGCCUCUGUGCCCCGCGUCACCCUGGGGUCAGCCACACAGCUCUGUCAGAUCCGAAGCUGCUGAAUAAAUGUUAAUAGCAGCUACUGUUUGCCCAGCAAGACCUCAUGUCACCCCAGGAAGGGGUAAGAGGAUGUGUUGCCAUCAGAUGGAAACACCAGGUCAGGAGCACUCCUUUCCCCCAGAUGAGGAGGAGUCUGUGUCUGGGACUCCGCAGCACUUCUCAGGAGACCCUCGCUCCUCCCCGUCUGAGACCCAGCAGGGACCGCGGCCACCCACUACCCUGCUUGAGCUGUCAGCUGAGGCUCACCCAGCAGGGACUGGAUGGUGCUGCUGCACUGCUGGAGCCGGUCGCCCGGGUCGG